rnacentral:rRNA from 1 species
UUAUGAGUAUAAUUUAAAGUUYAAUCUGCUCCAUGAUUAAUUUAUUAAAUAGCUGCAGUAUUUUGACUGUACAAAGGUAGCAUAAUCAAUAGUUUUUUAAUUAAAAGCUGGGAUGAAAGAUUUGAUAAGGUAAAUAUUGUCUCAAUUUUAAUAAAUUUUAUAAUUUUUUUUUUAGUAAAAAUACUAAAUUGAAUUUAAAAGACGAGAAGACCCUAUAGAUUUUUAUAUUUUUUAGUUUAGUAAAUUUAAAUUAAUUUUUUUUUUAAAUUAAAAAUUUAUUUGGUUGGGGAAAUUAUUAAAUUAAUAAAAUUUUAAUAUUUAAUAAACAAAAAUUAUUGAUUUUAUGAUCUUAAUAUUUUGGAUAAAUAGAAUAAAUUACCUUAGGGAUAACAGCGUAAUUUUUUUGGAGAGAUCAUAUUGAUAAAAAAGUUUGCGACCUCGAUGUUGAAUUAAGAUAAAAUUUUAAUGGAGAAAUUAAAAAUUUUUGGUCUGUUCGACCAUUAAAAUCUUACGU